UCUUGUUUCUAAGUCAUUCCAUAUACUUUCUCUUUGUGUAUUGUGAUUUAGACAGCAGAAGUAAAAGAUCUAAUUGAAGUGUGUGUGUGUGUGUGUGUGUGUGUGUGUAUGUGUGUGUGUGAUCCUUAAGGUCAUUAAACCACUGGACUCUCCUAUAGAUGUGUCCAUUUAGCAGGGAAAACCAUGUUCUUUCUCCUUUCUUGCUUCCUGCCCCCCCCCCCCCAACUCUUAUCCCGGAGAGUAAAUUCAGAGCCUCUUGAGUUUGAACCUCCUUAGGUUAACUGGCACUAAUGCAAGUAUUCACGACUAUGUGGGGAACAUUGCUGAGUGCAAAGGGAAUCUGCCUGUGCCUGGUAAUGGUUACUUCUCUUCAGGUAGGUCGUGUGUUGUUCUGUGAAAUGCAUUCCCAGGUGCCACUGCUUGUACCAGAUGCAGUCACAUUCAGCUGCCAACUCAGAAGGGCUCAGUCAGUUACUCUGGAUUGUCCUGGAUGGGUCCUGGUGGGCCUGAAUAGGCCCUGGAUGGGCCAUGAAUGGAAGGAGGAGGAAGAGGAGAACUGAAGAAAAGACAUUGUGAGAAAGACUCAGCCUAACAUGGAAGAUGUUAAGAUGGAGUGGGGCUGGGAUCCAGUUGAAGACUUUUAGCCCUGGAAGAAGCAGGAAUGGAUCUUCCCUUCCAAUCUCUGCAAGGAGCGGAGUCAGUGUGGAAGAUGCAGAGGGUCUGUGCACUGGAGAUCCAGAGGAUCCGGUUCGUAUCAGGAGACUAGAGUCUGCAUGGAGGCUGAAGAGUCUGUGCUGGAAGCCAGGAGACAACGUCCAAGUGAAGGUGAAGACUGCAGCUCCUCCAAAGAAACAGAGGCAAUCCUUUCUUCUUCAUUUCUCUUUAUACAUUCUGGUGACAGUCCUCCCUGGGAUGAGAUUUCUACACCCAGAAUCACAGCGAGCCAGUUUAAUUGGGUGUUACUUACUCAAGUUGACAUGGUUAACUAUCACACAGGAUGUGUUCAUUUUCCUACAAAUGACUCAAGUUUAUCUUUCUUUAUGGCAAAGUAGUACUGAAUUUUGUGUAAAUACCACAUUUUCUUUAUCUGGUCAUCUGCUGAUGGACAUAUAUAUUGUUUCCAAGAUUUAGUUAUUGUGACUUGUGCUGCUAUAAAGCUGGCUAUGGAUGUAUCACUGUAAUGUGAUACCUUUAGGUGUUUUGUGAAAAUACCUAGAAGGGGCAUAGCUGGGCUGAAUGGAAUUUUUAGUUUUAGUUAUUUGAAGAGUCUCAAUUCUGAUUUCUGUAGUGGUUGUACUAGUUUACAUUCCUACCAACAAUAACACUUCAGGUUCCUUUUCUCGGCCUGUUGGUUAUGCUUUGGGCUGGGACUUUGCUGAUGUCUUGGCUUCUUGGGUUCCAUCUCUCUGCAUUUAAGAAAUUCCUGGUUGUUUUGACAUAUUUAACUUGCUGGAUGAUCUUGAGUAAACUCAUACCCUGAUAUAUGGAGGGAUUCUUGGAGAUGACUCCCAGUUUUCCUAGCUAAUUUGUCUUCAGGUUUUAGUUUUAUUAAAUUCUAGUUUAUUUAACUCUUAUAUUUGUUGUCCUUUCCCCCAUUGUCUAAAUGUCCUUGUCAGCCAUGAUCCUAAUUAUGUUCCUCCCUUCCCAGUUCUGCAUGCAUUGCCUUCAUUGGGAAACACUAUAAAUCUUUUAUUUCCCAUAGAGGAAGUUCUCCAACCUUUGUUGACACACCCAUACUGUCAUCCCUCCAUGUGGCAAAGUACUAUCAGCUCACAGAUGGAUGUAGGUCUGCAAUGUGGAGUUGGGUCACUGUUGACUAUCACCAAUAGCUUAGGAAUGAAAUAUUAGCUCUUCUUGUUUAUAAAACUUCCUUGACUCAUCCUGCUCCCAUGGAUCACUCACUCAUUUUUCUUCUAUUCUGGUUUUAGUCUGUCACAUACGUUUUUUGGGAAAGCAGGAGUGAAGUUACUUCUCUUCUCUUUGCACAACCCUUGGAGCCUCAUUCACAGUGCACUAUGUUCUAUAGCACGUGAAGGAAGUCCCCUGUCACAGUGUAGACAGAUGUGUGGAACCCACAUCUCUGGUCCCAACAGUAACAUGCCUACCCUGUCUGCCUUGGUUUGUAAUGCCAUUAAAUUGGGGUACAGAUCCAAAUAAGGGUCACAAGUCAGCAUUACACUGGAGUACCAUGUCUGGCCUCAGUGUCCCCAGAUAAAACAUCAGCAGAACUAAUGAGAAGACUCACUGCUGUUCCUGCUGCUGCACAAGUGGAGGUUUUCCCUGGGAGCCCUUCCAAAGCAUUACCAACAGGCCACAGCUGGGGCCAGUAUGUAGCAAAUGAUCAAACUGGGAUUUCAUUUUUCACAUUGAUUUGCUAUGGAUAAAUGAAUGAAACUUUCAUUAUUUUGUUUUUCUACCUGUAAAAAGAG
rnacentral:lncRNA from 1 species